GCUUUGUAUCAUUCUGGCGUGGUUGGAAAAUAACAAACUUUCUUAAAGUCUUAUAUCUUAGACUUAGGAUUCUUGGACUUAAAAUCCUUUGAGGGGAUCUAAAAGUGUGUCUCCUAUAAGCUUUAAAAAACCCAAACCAAAAAACAUACAUAACAACAGCAAAUCACAUGGAAGCAGGAUAUGGAAGGCCUUUCUUGGAACAUGAACCAAGGAGUUGUUUCCCCAGAGCAGAACAGGGCUGCUUCUUUAGUUUGGUUAUACUUUCCUGAAAGCUCUUCCCUAUCAUGAACACUCUUCAUCAUUUUCACUGUGGUCCUCUGAGGAUGUUCCCAUUUCUCUACAUGCUUCUUCAAGACUGGGUAACCCUUUUCCGAGGAACAAGAUGUCCUUCAGCCAUCUGA
rnacentral:lncRNA from 11 species